rnacentral:lncRNA from 1 species
AGGGACCCACUCCCACACAGGUUGUUCCAGUCAUGUGACCUCAUUCGCAAUUUGGUCAGAAUUCUCAAUUAGCUGGUCGCUGGUCCUUUUUUUGGGUAGGAAAUGUUUCUGUGGUUGUCCUUGUUUUGUAUCCCUUUGGUUUCUGUUGUGGUGCAAUGUGGUUUCAUUAGUGGUCGAGUGGGUGAGUGCUUCCGUACAUUUGCUACUUUUACUGUCAACAUUUUGGCUGUCAGAGCUGCUCAGUUC